UAGGUGGGUCGCCCUGUCGCCUCCGUUGGGGGAGGAAAGUCCGGACAGGAAAGAGCAAGACUCUGUGGAAAGCACAGCCGGGGGUAACUUCGGGUAAAUCGUAACAGAAAACAACCGCCUCUUUUGAGGUAAGGGUGAAAACGCGGGGUAAGAGCCCACGACUUGUAGUGGCGACACUGCGAGGGUACGAACAGUCUCCUGCAAGGCCACAUACACCGGCGAUUGAGGGCUGCUCGCCCAAUGCCGGGGGGUAGGCUGCAUCAGAUAGAUGACAGGGACUCCAAGAGUACAGAAUCCGGCUUACAGGCCCACCUUUUUU
rnacentral:RNase_P_RNA from 1 species